CCUUGAUUAGCGACGUGUUUGGUUCACAAUUGUCAAACCCGAGGCAUGACUAUAUAAAUUAGCAAACACACCGAUUUUUCGGGCCCUCUCGCAUCUAAUCCUUCCCUCGGCUUCACACAUCCUGAACUGUAGCAGCCGGCCCCUGGAUACACUUCAGCGCGGAACCGCGGCGGCCACCGCUAUCACUCCCCGGCGACCGAUCCAAAUUGCAGCUUUCAUUGGCCAACGGAUCAGAGAGCGCGAGACAAGCCGGAUCCGAGGUUUAUUUUAAUCAAAGAUCUGAAGAGGAGCGUGCGCCCCGUCCAGGAUCUGAUUGUUUGCUGACUAGUUAAUUUUUGUGGAUGAGAGAAUUUUCUGGUGCUUUGUGGAUGUCCUUGCUGGAUGGAGGCUGGAUGUCUCACGUGGAAGAAUUGAUUCAUGUGGCUUGUGGGGGUGAAUGGCGUAGCAUCCCAUCGUCGAUCUUCAGCACACUCUGUUGAUCCUACCGCUAGCGGCGCCCAGUCAGCCGUAAACAGAUCAA